UGCGGGAUAGUUCAGUGGUUAGAAUACCGGGCUCAUAAUCCGGUGGUCGGUGGUUCGAGCCCACCUCCCGCAU
rnacentral:tRNA from 1 species